GCCUGUAGGUUGCAGAAGAAUGGCCUACACGCACUACAGUUCUGUUUUACUCAAAAAAAGAAACAAAAGAAACCUAAACAAUAGGGUAAACGUUUAUUUGGAGUUAGUUUUCUUGCAGAUGAUGCUUAAGGCCCUUCAAGCAGAGUUCAGGAGCUCCUGUAUGGCUGCCUGUUGAUCUGCAUUGAGCUGUGAUAUGCAUUCUGUCCACAGUCCUCCGGAUGUCUGCACUUGGCGAACAACAUUAGCCAAUCGCUUGGUACAUGGAUCUUCAUGUUUAAUAGCUUCAUGGAUUUCACCAUCCGCAAUUAUACUGAAUAUUCUGGGAAGGUUAGAGUUGUUGGGACCAAGGACAACUGGAUUGUUGCUCUCAAUUAAGUCACACAAAUAAUUGAAAGUAUGAACAGCUUCUUCUUUAUCUUCAUGAAGUGGAAGCCAUGAUAACCAGUGUGGCAGGACUUCUUCAACAUUUACACAGUCUGGCUUGAACUUCAUUAUCUUCCCUACAGCUGAAAUGCAGUUCUCUGUUGCAUUGACAUUCUCUUUGGUUUUGGCAUCUGGCGACUGAAUGACUCUCACCAGCAAUGGAAGCGCCUCUGUGCAAAAGGGACGAUAGUUGUCCCCACCAAAUUGUGCCAUCACUCCAACACCAUAGGCAGCUGCUUGCCUCACCUCUGGGCUGUUAUCACAUAUUGACUGCAGCAUCGGCCUCAGGAAGUACUCGGCAUACUUGAAUGAGGAGGGGCUGCAGUGCUCUAUGAUGUCAUCAAAAAUACAAAGUCCCCACUGCCUAUCCGGCCACGGCCUCUGUGGACAAAUUAAGUUGACAAUUAGUGGAAGUAGCCUUUCAAACCAUGGCAACACCUUCUCCUUAUAACUGCUGAAUAUUGAGUGCAAAAUGUCGGAUACUUUAGUCAAAAUAUAAACGUCACUGUCAUCUUCAUCUUGUAAUGACUCCUCAACUUGUUCAUCAUAGUCUUCAUCUUGUCUUUUCACCUGUCUUAAUUCUUGGUUUUUAAAGUGCUCUUCUAGUUUUCCUUUUAAUAUUCCUCCGAGCUCUUCAAAGUGUUCGUUGUUAAGGCAUCCGUCGCCCAUUACCUCGAUGCACUUUGCAAAAGAAUGCAUUAUUUCUGAAAGAACAUCUGAAUCUGGUUCUGUCCCAAUGGCUUUGAUGAGCGCAUCGCACAUGAAGUGCCACAUCUGUGUGAGGUACUCAGGCCCGCGCACUCUGGCACAUUCAAGAAGGAGAGGCAUCGACUCUGCUGCCGCCACUCGAACACCAUCAUGGAAGUAGAACUUCAACAAUGGAACCAUCAGCUUUACAACUUGUUCAGUGUACUCCACAAACCCUUCCUUUAGCUCUUUCGCAUAGCAAACCAGCAUUUGGCAUGCAGUUGCUUUCUCUUCAAGACCUGCAGUUUUGAUUCCGAAACUUUGCUGAUCUCCUAGGUUUACAAACUCCCAACCAUCAUCAUCACUCAUAUUCUCCAUAUCUUGUGUGUCUAAAAGAGCUACUUCAGGUUUAAUGGAUGCAGUCUUCAUUAGAGGGCCCAUGACAACAGGAAGGUACUGCUGAAAUUCCUUUCCAAGAAUUUUGCACAUUCUGGCCCACGCUGAGAUCAUGUAAGAAAUUUGUGGAUCAUCGUCUUCUAGAUCACUGAAGUCUGUCUGUGUCUUCAAUAACAGCUGCAUUACAUCUGAUGCGUCCUGCAUAAACUUUUCUUUACCAACAGCAAGACCAAUUAGGCUGAUGCAUUCAAUAGUUUUUCCUCGCAGAAGCCUCAGUUCCUUCUGGACAGCAUUCUCAACAAUGUGUUUUAAAGAGGUCAUAAAUAAGUCAUAGUAUGGAACAAACUUCUCCUCUGCUGUAUCUGCAACCGAUGCUAUUGAAGUCACAACUUGCUCCAAAACCAGCUUAGUGCCUUUCUGUAUCAACUCUUGUAGUUUUAUCACCAUAGUGGAAUGAAGAUGCUUCACUAGGUUAUCCAGAUAUGGAAUUAGCAGUGACUUUGGACAGUCUUCAGUGAAGUUUAUGAGCGCUGCAGCAGCAUGGGCUUGAACACGCUGGUUGUCUUGAUCCUCCAUGGUCUGCAGAAGAGCUGCUAUCACUUUCUCAUGAAAUUUCUUUUGGAAGCCAGGUGCAAAGUCAGUCGCCAUUUGUCCGAUAGCAUUACAAGCAGCGUAUCUCACUCUUGGAUGCGGGUCCUGAAGGAAUAGCAGAACAAAAUUAACUAUCUCAUUUAAAAUUCCUUCCAUCUGUUGGUGGCAACCUUCUCCGAUGGCUGAGAGAGCCAUCAAGCCUGCGUGUCUGUACUUCCAGUCAGGAUUCUGAAGCAUCUGCAUAAUAUGUUCUUUAAUCAUAGGUAAAACAAGCUUUCCUCCGAGGCCACACGCCAUCCUGUCCAGCGCACUCUCACCAGCCACUGCAUUGCUGUCAAAAUCAUCAUCUUCAAGCUCAUCUGCAUUUGCCCAAUCUUCAUCUUCUUCCAAGUCAACCAUCAUUGCUAACAUCUGAGGAAUGGCUUGUGCAACAAUGUUUGUAUGCCUCCUCAGCAUAGCAGCAGCAGUUUCUGACAAGGUCACAAUCACUUCGAGCGCCAACUGACGCUGCAUGUUACUGAGAUUGGUGUCUGCACACAACCUCAGGCUUAGCUGCAGUGUAGGUUCUAAGUGUGGUCGCAAAUACUUUGGAACAGAAUCUGCAAUUUCUACGAGGGACUUCAGGACAGAGUCGUCAUUUUGAUAGCAGGAAUCAUUUACGGCCUGCAAGAUUCCAGGUAACAAGUCUGCAAAAUGUUUAAGAAGGGGAAUAUUGUGCUCAUUAGCAAGCACAAAUGCAGCUGCAGCUCUAGCAGACAGAGUCUUGAUUGAUGGAUGCUCCUGAUCUUGCAUACACUGAACCAGCAUCCUUUUAAUAACCUCCAAAUAAUGUUGCUGCUGAUUUCCAAAAAUGCCAGGAAAAUUCCAGAAAAUAUGCAGAGCAGCUUCACGAAGUCCAACGUUUUGAGAACUGACAGAAUCAAAUAAGAAUUUCAGAACAUCUGGCCACUGGUUGUUUCCAUCUUCAUCUAUCAAGUUCCUGGCCAGCUCAGCAACAAUGUCACAGAUUUUUUUCCUCAUACUGGACUGUGCUUCCAACUGAAUAAUCAACAGCAGCCCAGUUUUGAGAGAGGUCUGAUCAUCAGGUGAGAGAGCAGGAUAAACUUCUUCAAAAGCGGAAGACAAAAGGCGUCGUAGAAGGACAGCUGCCAUCUGUCGUGCCUCCUCAGCAGCAGCAGUAUUCCUGAUUGCUUGUAGGAGGAAGGUGAUCUUGGAUUGACCCGGAAUAUUCUCAUACGUCUCCUCGGCCUGCUUGCGGACCGCAUUGUCCGGGCUGAGCAGGUUGCCCAGCAGGAGGUAGAACUGCUGCUGCUCCUGCUCUGCCGCCGUCGCCGCCAUUGCUGCGAAAGGGA
rnacentral:lncRNA from 1 species